ACGGGUGAGUAAUGCCUAGGAAUCUGCCUGGUAGUGGGGGACAACGUUUCGAAAGGAACGCUAAUACCGCAUACGUCCUACGGGAGAAAGCAGGGGACCUUCGGGCCUUGCGCUAUCAGAUGAGCCUAGGUCGGAUUAGCUAGUUGGUGAGGUAAUGGCUCACCAAGGCGACGAUCCGUAACUGGUCUGAGAGGAUGAUCAGUCACACUGGAACUGAGACACGGUCCAGACUCCUACGGGAGGCAGCAGUGGGGAAUAUUGGACAAUGGGCGAAAGCCUGAUCCAGCCAUGCCGCGUGUGUGAAGAAGGUCUUCGGAUUGUAAAGCACUUUAAGUUGGGAGGAAGGGUUGUAGAUUAAUACUCUGCAAUUUUGACGUUACCGACAGAAUAAGCACCGGCUAACUCUGUGCCAGCAGCCGCGGUAAUACAGAGGGUGCAAGCGUUAAUCGGAAUUACUGGGCGUAAAGCGCGCGUAGGUGGUUCGUUAAGUUGGAUGUGAAAUCCCCGGGCUCAACCUGGGAACUGCAUCCAAAACUGGCGAGCUAGAGUAUGGUAGAGGGUGGUGGAAUUUCCUGUGUAGCGGUG
rnacentral:rRNA from 80 species